GACGAACGCUGGCGGCGUGCUUAACACAUGCAAGUCGAACGGAAAGGCCCCUUUGGGGGUACUCGAGUGGCGCACGGGUGAGUAACACGUGAGUAACCUGCCCUUGACUUCGGGAUAACUUCAGGAAACUGGGGCUAAUACCGGAUAGGAAUCCUUGCUGCAUGGUGGGGGUUGGAAAGCUUCGGCGGUUUUGGAUGGACUCGCGGCUUAUCAGCUUGUUGGUGGGGUAGUGGCUUACCAAGGCUUUGACGGGUAGCCGGCCUGAGAGGGGGACCGGCCACAUUGGGACUGAGAUACGGCCCAGACUCCUACGGGAGGCAGCAGUGGGGAAUAUUGCACAAUGGGCGGAAGCCUGAUGCAGCAACGCCGCGUGCGGGAUGACGGCCUUCGGGUUGGAAACCGCUUUCAGCAGGGGCGAAGCUUGUGGUGACGGUACCUGCAGAAGAAGCACCGGCUAACUACGUG
rnacentral:rRNA from 1 species